rnacentral:snRNA from 1 species
AGAUGUCAGGGCCACCUGGCUGUGACCUCUGUCACCCCAUUGGUCACCAGGAUUGAUUUGGCUGACCUGGCUGUCUGGCAGGUGUCCCCUUCCUCCCUCACUGCUGCACGCGUGUGCCUCCCAGAGCCGUGCGCACAGUUAAAGAGGAUGACCCCCUCUUUGGUCAAGGGUGUAUGAGUAGCUCUGUGCUCCCCUCUAGCUGUGCUAGAACCUCCACACAAGCACUCAGAGUCCAUUUGUAGGAGAAUCCCAUGGACAGAGGAGCCUGAAGGGCUGCAGUCCAUGGGGUCUCUUGCAAAGAGUCAGACAUGACUGAGCAACUUAGCACACACACAUAGGGUAGUCAAACUUCCAAAACUCGAGACAUAGCCAAGUGAGGUGUUAUGUAUGGCAGGCUGUCUUUUUU